AUUUAACACAUGCUGCUAAAUCUAUACUUUACCCCUUAUAUCAGGAUAAUUUCAAGGGAUCAAAGAUUUAAAUAUUUUUUUAAAAGAUAGUAAAAGAAAUCAUAGAGGUCUUAUAAAUAAAAUCAAACCAUGAUAAAUGUAGUCUAAAGAAGAAAAGAGAGAUUUUUCACUUUGCACCUUUUUGUACUUUUAAAAAUUUUGCACCAUGGGAUCAAGAAUCAAUUCGUUUUUUAAAGAUUACCUAAUUGACCUUAAAAAUUUCCCUCUCCUU
rnacentral:lncRNA from 1 species